AGAGCGAACGCUGGCGGCAGGCUUAACACAUGCAAGUCGAACGGGCGUAGCAAUACGUCAGUGGCAGACGGGUGAGUAACGCGUGGGAACGUACCUUUUGGUUCGGAACAACACAGGGAAACUUGUGCUAAAUACCGGAUAAGCCCUUACGGGGAAAGAUUUAUCGCCGAAAGAUCGGCCCGCGUCUGAUUAGCUAGUUGGUAGGGUAACGGCCUACCAAGGCGACGAUCAGUAGCUGGUCUGAGAGGAUGAUCAGCCACAUUGGGACUGAGACACGGCCCAAACUCCUACGGGAGGCAGCAGUGGGGAAUAUUGGACAAUGGGCGAAAGCCUGAUCCAGCCAUGCCGCGUGAGUGAUGAAGGCCCUAGGGUUGUAAAGCUCUUUUGUGCGGGAAGAUAAUGACGGUACCGCAAGAAUAAGCCCCGGCUAACUUCGUGCCAGCAGCCGC
rnacentral:rRNA from 1 species